CUCUCAACGCUGACCUUCUUGGGGGGGCCUUUGCUUUUUACGAUCGUUAGGGUAGCAUAUUUGUUGCUACUUCACCAAACAUCAGAAACGACUGCCUGUGAGUUUGUUUUAACUUAAACGAAGACAAAACAAUGUCAACUACAACAGCUAUAUGUGCAGCCUCUUUUAAAAGAAAUGUGUCAUCACUCCAGCCGAUGACGGUCCCAAACCGGAAGCAAAACAAUGUGAGCUGAAACUACGUAGUGCGAUCAUACAAUCAUUUAAAAAAAAAUAGCGCACACAAUUGAAAUGCUCGUGUUUUUAAAAGUGCCCAUUACACUGAUUUCUACGUAGUUUGAGCUCUCAUUUUGAUACCAACCUGACCAUAUGAAGAUUUUAGCCGAACGGGGACAACAGGCUGCACUGUUAGUACAGUGGACCUUCCCUUCAAAGCGCUGACAGUCACGAGUAAUAAAGAGAACCAAUACUCUUAGGAUUCCUCACAAACGCCAUGGAUGGCACAGAGGAUGAUAUGCUGUGGCAGGAAGAUGGGAUCACUGUUCUUGAAUGCAGAAGGCAUCAGAACUGGACCAGGUCAUCAAUGAUGAGUUCGACAGUGAUGCACAAAGCACCAAAAACUCGGACCUGUUACUCAGCUCCAAAAGUUACUCACUGCCACUGCAAGCUGUGUUUCUCCUGUGAUGGGUGAAUGCAGAGGGACUGUAGGGCAGCUGUAAAGCGUUGGACUCACUGUUCUGAGGACCCGGGUUCAAUCCCGGCCCUGCUUGUAUGGAGUUUGCAUGUUCUCCCCGUGCGUGCGUGGGUUUUCUCUGGGCACUCCAGUUUCCUCCCAUAUCCCAAAAGCAUGCAACAUUAAUUGGACACUCUAAAUUGUCCCUAGGUGUGAUUGUGAGUGUGUCUGUUGUCUGUCUCGAUG